rnacentral:rRNA from 1 species
GGAUGAACGCUAGCGGCAGGCUUAACACAUGCAAGUCGAGGGGUAUAGUUCUUCGGAACUAGAGACCGGCGCACGGGUGCGUAACGCGUAUGCAAUCUACCUUUCACAGAGGGAUAGCCCAGAGAAAUUUGGAUUAAUACCUCAUAGUAUAAUUGAAUGGCAUCAUUUAAUUAUUAAAGUCACAACGGUGAAAGAUGAGCAUGCGUCCCAUUAGCUUGUUGGUAAGGUAACGGCUUACCAAGGCAACGAUGGGUAGGGGUCCUGAGAGGGAGAUCCCCCACACUGGUACUGAGACACGGACCAGACUCCUACGGGAGGCAGCAGUGAGGAAUAUUGGUCAAUGGGCGCAAGCCUGAACCAGCCAUGCCGCGUGCAGGAUGACGGUCCUAUGGAUUGUAAACUGCUUUUGUACAGGAAGAAACACUGGUUCGUGAACCAGCUUGACGGUAUCUGUAAGAAUAAGGAUCGG